rnacentral:rRNA from 1 species
GCUACGGGAGGCAGCAGUGGGGGAUAUUGCACAAUGGGGGAAACCCUGAUGCAGCGACGCCGCGUGUGGGAAGACGGUCCUCUGGAUUGUAAACCACUGUCCCCAGGGACGAAGAUGACGGUACCUGGGGAGGAAGCUCCGGCUAACUACGUGCCAGCAGCCGCGGUCAUACGUAGGGAGCGAGCGUUGUCCGGAAUUACUGGGUGAAACGGGAGCGUAGGCGGGGAUGCAAGUUGGGUGUCAAAACUACCGGCUCAACGGGGAGUCGCCCUCAAAACUGCAGCGCUUGAGUGAAGUAGAGGCAGGCGGAAUUCCUAGUGUAGCGGUGAAAUGCGUAGAUAUUAGGAGGAACACCAGUGGCGAAGGCGGUCUGCUGGGCUUUUACUGACGCUGAGGCUCGAAAGUGUGGGGAGCAAACAGGAUUAGAUACCCGAGUAGUC